rnacentral:rRNA from 1 species
GGGGGGGGGGGGGGGGGGGGGGGAGACAGGCAGGGCGAGGGGGGAGGGGGUGGGGGGGGGGGGUGCGGGAGGGGCGAACGGGUGAGUGAGCCGGGAGUAACCUGGCCUUGACAUAGGGGGCACUUGAGGAAACGGGGGGUGAUACGGGAACGGGGGACAGGGUGAGUGGUGGGGGGGGGGGAGGUUCGGCGGGUUGGGAUUGACUGGCGGCUGAGGAGCGUGUGGGGGGGGUAGUGGCUGACCAAGGCGUUGACGGGUAGCCGGCCUUAGAGUGUGACCGGCCACAUUGGGACUGAGAUACUGCCCAGACUCCUACGGGAGGCAGCAGUGGGGAAUAUUGCACAAUGGGCGGAAUUCUGAUGCAGCAACGCCGCGUGCGGGAUGACGGCCUUCGGGUUGUAAACCGCUUUCGCCUGUGACGAAGCGUGAGUGACGGUAAUGGGUAAAGAAGCACCGGCUCACUACGUG